GGGUUGUGAGGUUAAGCGACUAAGCGUACACGGUGGAUGCCCUGGCAGUCAGAGGCGAUGAAGGACGUGCUAAUCUGCGAAAAGCGUCGGUAAGGUGAUAUGAACCGUUACAGCCGGCGAUGUCCGAAUGGGGAAACCCAGUGUGAUUCGUCACACUAUCGUUAACUGAAUACAUAGGUUAACGAGGCGAACCGGGGGAACUGAAACAUCUAAGUACCCCGAGGAAAAGAAAUCAACCGAGAUUCCCCAGUAGCGGCGAGCGAACGGGGAGCAGCCCAGAGUCUGAAUCAGCUUGUGUGUUAGUGGAACGGUCUGGAAAGUCCGACGGUACAGGGUGAUAGUCCCGUACACCAAAAUGCACAGGCUGUGAACUCGAAGAGUAGGGCGGGACACGUGGUAUCCUGUCUGAAUAUGGGGGACCAUCCUCCAAGGCUAAAUACUCCUGACUGACCGAUAGUGAACCAGUACCGUGAGGGAAAGGCGAAAAGAACCCCGGCGAGGGAGUGAAAAAGAACCUGAAACCGUGUACGUACAAGCAGUGGGAGCACCUUCGGGUGUGACUGCGUACCUUUUGUAUAAUGGGUCAGCGACUUAUAUUCUGUAGCAAGGUUAACCGUAUAGGGGAGCCGCAGGGAAACCGAGUCUUAACUGGGCGUUAAGUUGCAGGGUAUAGACCCGAAACCCGGUGAUCUAGCCAUGGGCAGGUUGAAGGUUGGGUAACACUAACUGGAGGACCGAACCGACUAAUGUUGAAAAAUUAGCGGAUGACUUGUGGCUGGGGGUGAAAGGCCAAUCAAACCGGGAGAUAGCUGGUUCUCCCCGAAAGCUAUUUAGGUAGCGCCUCGUGAAUUCAUCUUCGGGGUAGAGCACUGUUUCGGCUAGGGGUCAUCCCGACUUACCAACCCGAUGCAAACUACGAAUACCGAAGAAUGUUAUCACGGGAGACACACGGCGGGUGCUAACGUCCGUCGUGAAGAGGGAAACAACCCAGACCGCCAGCUAAGGUCCCAAAGUCAUGGUUAAGUGGGAAACGAUGUGGGAAGGCACAGACAGCCAGGAUGUUGGCUUAGAAGCAGCCAUCAUUUAAAGAAAGCGUAAUAGCUCACUGGUCGAGUCGGCCUGCGCGGAAGAUGUAACGGGGCUAAACCAUGCACCGAAGCUGCGGCAGCGACACUAUGUGUUGUUGGGUAGGGGAGCGUUCUGUAAGCCUGCGAAGGUGACCUGUGAGGGUUGCUGGAGGUAUCAGAAGUGCGAAUGCUGACAUAAGUAACGAUAAAGCGGGUGAAAAGCCCGCUCGCCGGAAGACCAAGGGUUCCUGUCCAACGUUAAUCGGGGCAGGGUGAGUCGACCCCUAAGGCGAGGCCGAAAGGCGUAGUCGAUGGGAAACAGGUUAAUAUUCCUGUACUUGGUGUUACUGCGAAGGGGGGACGGAGAAGGCUAUGUUAGCCGGGCGACGGUUGUCCCGGUUUAAGCAUGUAGGCUGGUUAUCCAGGCAAAUCCGGAUAAUCAAGGCUGAGGUGUGAUGACGAGGCACUACGGUGCUGAAGUAACAAAUGCCCUGCUUCCAGGAAAAGCCUCUAAGCAUCAGGUAACAUCAAAUCGUACCCCAAACCGACACAGGUGGUCAGGUAGAGAAUACCAAGGCGCUUGAGAGAACUCGGGUGAAGGAACUAGGCAAAAUGGUGCCGUAACUUCGGGAGAAGGCACGCUGGUGUGUAGGUGAAGUCCCUGCGGAUGGAGCUGAGACCAGUCGAAGAUACCAGCUGGCUGCAACUGUUUAUUAAAAACACAGCACUGUGCAAACACGAAAGUGGACGUAUACGGUGUGACGCCUGCCCGGUGCCGGAAGGUUAAUUGAUGGGGUUAUCCGUAAGGAGAAGCUCUUGAUCGAAGCCCCGGUAAACGGCGGCCGUAACUAUAACGGUCCUAAGGUAGCGAAAUUCCUUGUCGGGUAAGUUCCGACCUGCACGAAUGGCGUAAUGAUGGCCAGGCUGUCUCCACCCGAGACUCAGUGAAAUUGAACUCGCUGUGAAGAUGCAGUGUACCCGCGGCAAGACGGAAAGACCCCGUGAACCUUUACUAUAGCUUGACACUGAACAUUGAGCCUUGAUGUGUAGGAUAGGUGGGAGGCUUUGAAGCGUGGACGCCAGUCUGCGUGGAGCCAACCUUGAAAUACCACCCUUUAAUGUUUGAUGUUCUAACGUUGGCCCCUUACCGGGGUUGCGGACAGUGUCUGGUGGGUAGUUUGACUGGGGCGGUCUCCUCCCAAAGCGUAACGGAGGAGCACGAAGGUUAGCUAAUCCUGGUCGGACAUCAGGAGGUUAGUGCAAUGGCAUAAGCUAGCUUGACUGCGAGCGUGACGGCGCGAGCAGGUGCGAAAGCAGGUCAUAGUGAUCCGGUGGUUCUGAAUGGAAGGGCCAUCGCUCAACGGAUAAAAGGUACUCCGGGGAUAACAGGCUGAUACCGCCCAAGAGUUCAUAUCGACGGCGGUGUUUGGCACCUCGAUGUCGGCUCAUCACAUCCUGGGGCUGAAGUAGGUCCCAAGGGUAUGGCUGUUCGCCAUUUAAAGUGGUACGCGAGCUGGGUUUAGAACGUCGUGAGACAGUUCGGUCCCUAUCUGCCGUGGGCGCUGGAGAAUUGAGGGGGCUGCUCCUAGUACGAGAGGACCGGAGUGGACGCAUCACUGGUGUUCGGGUUGUCAUGCCAAUGGCACUGCCCGGUAGCUAAAUGCGGAAGAGAUAAGUGCUGAAAGCAUCUAAGCACGAAACUUGCCCCGAGAUGAGUUCUCCCUGAGACUUUAAGUCUCCUGAAGGAACGUUAAAGACGAUGACGUUGAUAGGCCGGGUGUGUAAGCGCAGCGAUGCGUUGAGCUAACCGGUACUAAUGAACCGUGAGGCUUAACCUUACAACGCCGAAG
rnacentral:rRNA from 1 species